rnacentral:rRNA from 1 species
GAUGAACGCUGGCGGCGUGCCUAAUACAUGCAAGUCGAGCGAACGGACGAGAAGCUUGCUUCUCUGAUGUUAGCGGCGGACGGGUGAGUAACACGUGGAUAACCUACCUAUAAGACUGGGAUAACUUCGGGAAACCGUAGCUAAUACCGGAUAAUAUUUUGAACCGCAUGGUUCAAAAGUGAAAGACGGUGUUGCUGUCACUUAUAGAUGGAUCCGCGCUGCAUUAGCUAGUUGGUAAGGUAACGGCUUACCAAGGCAACGAUGCAUAGCCGACCUGAGAGGGUGAUCGGCCACACUGGAACUGAGACACGGUCCAGACUCCUACGGGAGGCAGCAGUAGGGAAUCUUCCGCAAUGGGCGAAAGCCUGACGGAGCAACGCCGCGUGAGUGAUGAAGGUCUUCGGAUCGUAAAACUCUGUUAUUAGGGAAGAACAUAUGUGUAAGUAACUGUGCACAUCUUGACGGUACCUAAUCAGAAAGCCACGGCUAACUACGUG